rnacentral:rRNA from 1 species
CGAGGGGGCAAGUGUUGUUCGGAAUCACUGGGCGUAAAGGGAGCGUAGGCGGAUGUUUAAGUCGGGUGUUUAAAACCGGGGCCCAACCCCGGAGCGGCACCCGAAACUGGGCAUCUUGAAUAGGUCAGAGGCUGGUGGAAUUGGAGGUGUAGCGGUGGAAUGCGUAGAGAUCUCCAAGAACACCUAUUGCGAAGGCAGCCAGCUGGGACCAUAUUGACGCUGAGGCUCGAAAGCAUGGGGAGCAAACAGGAUUAGAUACCCUGGUAGUCCAUGCCGUAAACGAUGAACACUAGGUUUUGGGCUCGUCAACGGUCCAGAGCCGCAGCUAACGCGUUAAGUGUUCCGCCUGGGGAAUACGGUCGCAAGACUG